AUGAACGCUAGCUACAGGCUUAACACAUGCAAGUCGAGGGGCAUCAGGAAGAAAGCUUGCUUUCUUUGCUGGCGACCGGCGCACGGGUGAGUAACACGUAUCCAACCUGCCCUUUACUCGGGGAUAGCCUUUCGAAAGAAAGAUUAAUACCCGAUGGCAUAAUGAUUCCGCAUGGUUUCAUUAUUAAAGGAUUCCGGUAAAGGAUGGGGAUGCGUUCCAUUAGGUUGUUGGUGAGGUAACGGCUCACCAAGCCUUCGAUGGAUAGGGGUUCUGAGAGGAAGGUCCCCCACAUUGGAACUGAGACACGGUCCAAACUCCUACGGGAGGCAGCAGUGAGGAAUAUUGGUCAAUGGGCGCUAGCCUGAACCAGCCAAGUAGCGUGAAGGAUGAAGGCUCUAUGGGUCGUAAACUUCUUUUAUAUAAGAAUAAAGUGCAGUAUGUAUACUGUUUUGUAUGUAUUAUAUGAAUAAGGAUCGGCUAACUCCGUGCCAGCAGCCGCGGUAAUACGGAGGAUCCGAGCGUUAUCCGGAUUUAUUGGGUUUAGAGGGAGCGUAGGUGGACUGGUAAGUCAGUUGUGAAAGUUUGCGGCUCAACCGUAAAAUUGCAGUUGAUACUGUCAGUCUUGAGUACAGUAGAGGUGGGCGGAAUUCGUGGUGUAGCGGUGAAAUGCUUAGAUAUCACGAAGAACUCCGAUUGCGAAGGCAGCUCACUGGACUGCAACUGACACUGAUGCUCGAAAGUGUGGGUAUCAAACAGGAUUAGAUACCCUGGUAGUCCACACAGUAAACGAUGAAUACUCGCUGUUUGCGAUAUACAGUAAGCGGCCAAGCGAAAGCAUUAAGUAUUCCACCUGGGGAGUACGCCGGCAACGGUGAAACUCAAAGGAAUUGACGGGGGCCCGCACAAGCGGAGGAACAUGUGGUUUAAUUCGAUGAUACGCGAGGAACCUUACCCGGGCUUAAAUUGCAGUGGAAUGAUGUGGAAACAUGUCAGUGAGCAAUCACCGCUGUGAAGGUGCUGCAUGGUUGUCGUCAGCUCGUGCCGUGAGGUGUCGGCUUAAGUGCCAUAACGAGCGCAACCCUUAUCUUUAGUUACUAACAGGUCAUGCUGAGGACUCUAGAGAGACUGCCGUCGUAAGAUGUGAGGAAGGUGGGGAUGACGUCAAAUCAGCACGGCCCUUACGUCCGGGGCUACACACGUGUUACAAUGGGGGGUACAGAAGGCAGCUAGCGGGUGACCGUAUGCUAAUCCCAAAAUCCUCUCUCAGUUCGGAUCGAAGUCUGCAACCCGACUUCGUGAAGCUGGAUUCGCUAGUAAUCGCGCAUCAGCCACGGCGCGGUGAAUACGUUCCCGGGCCUUGUACACACCGCCCGUCAAGCCAUGGGAGCCGGGGGUACCUGAAGUACGUAACCGCAAGGAUCGUCCUAGGGUAAAACUGGUGACUGGGGCU
rnacentral:rRNA from 1 species